rnacentral:rRNA from 1 species
CCUGAACGCUGGCGGCGUGGUUAAGACAUGCAAGUCGCACGGGUGCAGCAAUGCACCAGUGGCGAACGGGUGAGUAAUGUGUCGCUAACGUGCCCCGGACUCCGGGAUAGCCAUCCGAAAGGGUGGGUAAUACCGGGUAACAUCACGCGGAGGCAUCUCCGUGUGCUCAAAGGUCCGCCGGUCCGGGAGCGGGCGACAUCGUAUCAGCUAGUUGGUGGGGUAACGGCCCACCAAGGCGACGACGCGUAGCCGGACUGAGAGGUCGGCCGGCCACAUCGGGACUGAGACACUGCCCGGACUCCUACGGGGGGCUGCAGUAACGAAUCUUCCCCAAUGCACGGAAGUGUGAGGGAGCGACGCCGCGUGUGGGACGAAGUCCUUCGGGAUGUAAACCACUGUCAGGGGUUACCAAGACCUGAGGAGCCCCAGAGGAAGUGGCGGCUAACUCUGUGCCAGCAGCCGCGGUAAGACAGAGGCCACGAGCGUUAGGCGGAAUCACUGGGCUUAAAGCGUGUGUAGGCGGACCGUUAAGUGCCCGCGUGAAAUCCCCCGGCUCAACCGGGGAACGGCCGGGCAUACUGGCGGUCCUGAGCGGUCUAGGGGUCAUCGGAACAAACGGUGGAGCGGUGAAAUGCGUAGAUAUCGUUUGGAACGCCGACGGUGAAAACAGAGAAAGCCAGGGGAGCAAACGGGAUUAGAUACCCCGGUAGUCCUGGCCCUAAACGAUGUCGACUAGAUCGUGGUCCCUCUGACGGGUUCACGGUCGAAGCAAAAGUGCUAAGUCGACCGCCUGGGAAGUACGGUCGCAAGGCUAAAACUCAAAGGAAUUGACGGGGGCUCACACAAGCGGUGGAGCAUGUGGUUUAAUUCGAAGCAACGCGCAGAACUUACCUGGGCUUGACAUGCCUGGAUUAUCCUCGUGAAAGCGAGGUCCCGCAGGGGUACAACUGGCACGGCUGCAUGGCUGUCGUCAGCUCGUGUCGAGAUGUCGGGUAAGUCCC